rnacentral:misc_RNA from 1 species
GAAAUGCGAUAAGUAAUGUGAAUUGCAGAAUUCAGUGAAUCAUCGAAUCUUUGAACGCACAUUGCGCCCGCCAGUAUUCUGGCGGGCAUGCCUGUCCGAGCGUCAUUUCAACCAUCAAGCCCCCGGGCUUGUGUUGGGGACCUGCGGCUGCCCGCAGGCCAUGAAAACCAGUGGCGGGCUCGCUGUCACACCGAGCGUAGUAGCAAUCACCUCGCUCAGGGCGUGCUGCGGGUUCCGGCCGUUAAACAGCCUUACAAAACCCAAGGUUGACCUCGGAUCAGGUAGGAAGACCCGCUGAACUUAAGC